CUCUGAAGAAUGAGUCUGAGUAUCUUGAGUGCAUGCCAGCAUGUCAUCGACGAGCAGGAGGAGGAUCUGCUGGAUUCCACCAAAGACCUGGUCCUUGGAAAAUGAGAUAACAUCUUCCUCCAACACUCCCAAAGAAAGAGGUGGGAGACUGGCCACAACAGGGCUGAGUCGGGGACUCUACAUGGGGAAAGAGACAUGCCACUGAGGAAGCUGGUAGAAGCAGAGAUUGAUGGGGUGGCAGUAGUCACACGGUUGACAGCCCUGAAUGAGGCUAUGGGUGGUGUGAAAAAGGUGAGCUGCACUCUCUGAGAAUUCUUCAGGGAGUGCCAUGAACAAGAGGUACUCUCCCCUAUACAUGGACUUGCUUAGAUUGACUAGGUGUCAGUGUCUUUGCAGGGAAAUGGAAAAUGACAAUAAGAAUUGUGGUCUUAUAUUUUGAUUGGAAGAACAACAAUGAUUUAAUACUGCAGAUAGAUUGUAGGUUCUAUCAUUUUAAUUGUUUGCAUAAUUUCCAAUCCCUUAUUUGAAAUGUUUUCCCUUUAUACUUCCCCCCUUCUCUACCAUCCCUACCCUAAUUGGAGUAAACUAACUGACAACAAUACUUUUACUGCUACUUACAGCUAUUUCGGUCAUAUCUACAGUACAUGUAGUUAAAUCAUUAAAUAUUCAGAAUCUCCUCUCUCUUCAAGUGCUGGAUUUUCACCCACAAUAGCCAAUCCACCAUUCAUUCAGAUCUUAACUCCAACCCACCGAUGUCCACAGAUU
rnacentral:lncRNA from 1 species